ACGGCGGCGGGAAGAUGGCGGCCCCCAGGAGCCGGCCCGCCGCCGUGGAGGCAGAGGCGGACGCCGGGCGCCAGGGGGGCUCCGGAGUGGAGUUGGCGCUCCCCUCCGACACUGCCGCUGCUGCCCCGCUCUGCCCUCACGGACCCACUCUUCUGUUUGUAAAGGUGAACCGAGGGAAGGAAGAAACACGAAGGUUUUAUGCCUGCUCAGCCUGUAGAGAUAGAAAAGACUGUAAUUUUUUUCAGUGGGAAGAUGAAAAGUUGUCAGAAGCUAGACUUGCUGCGCGAGAAGCCUAUAACCAAAGAUGUCGGCCUCCUCUAUCCCGAACACAGUGUGUGGAAAGGUACUUGAGGUUUAUUGAGUUGCCCUUGAGUCAGAGAAAGUUCUGUCAAAGCUGUCAGCAGUUGCUGUUACCAGAUGACUGGGGAGAUCAUCGUGAGCAUCAGGUGGUAGGUGAUGUCUCUGUCACCCAGUUAAGAAGGCCCAGUCAGCUCCUUUAUCCAUUGGAAAACAAGAAGACAAAUGCCCAAUACCUGUUUGCUGAUCGGACCUGUCAGUUCCUGGCAGACCUCCUUUCUACCCUGGGAUUCAGAAGAGUACUGUGUGUUGGAACACCGAGGUUGCAUGAACUGAUCAGGUUGACAGAACCAGGUGAUAAGAAGUCUAAUAUUAAAAGCCUUUUAUUGGACAUUGAUUUUCGGUAUUCACAGUUUUAUGUGGAAGAUAGCUUUUGCCAUUAUAACAUGUUUAACCACCAUUUCUUUGAUGGAAAGGCUGCCCUUGAAGUAUGCAGAGCAUUUUUACAGGAAGAUAAAGGUGAAGGAGUCAUUCUGGUGACAGACCCUCCUUUUGGUGGCUUGGUUGAACCUCUGGCUAUUACAUUCAAGAAGUUAAUUGCUAUGUGGAAAGAAGGUCAAAGCCAAGAUGAGAGUCAAAAAGAGCUGCCCAUUUUCUGGAUUUUCCCUUACUUUUUUGAGUCCCGAAUUCAUCAGUUUUUCCCCAACUUUUGCAUGCUGGAUUACCAGCACUUCCACAGGAGGUUUAUUUGUGUGGAUGAAGCUAUGAAAUAUGGAUGUAUGUUAGAGGUAGACUAUGACAAUCAUGCACUUUAUAAACAUGGAAAGACAGGUCGAAAACAGUCUCCUGUGCGUAUUUUUACCAACAUUCCACCCAACAAAAUAAUCCUUCCUACUGAAGAAGGGUACAGAUUUUGCCCUCUGUGUCAACGGUAUGUCUCUCUUGAGAAUCGACACUGUGAGCACUGUGGUUCUUGCACAUCCAAGGAUGGCAGGAAAUGGAACCAUUGCUUUCUCUGCAGAAAGUGUGUAAAGCCUUCCUGGAUCCACUGUAGCAUUUGCAAUCACUGUGCUGUUCCAGAUCAUUCUUGUGAGGGCACGAAAGAUGGCUGCUUUAUUUGUGGUGAAUUAGACCACAAACGCAGUACUUGUCCUAACAUUGGCACCUGUAAGAAAGCUAACAAAGCUGUCAGAAAGCAGAAGCAAAGAAGAAGUAAUAAGAUGAAAAUGGAGAGCAGGAAAGGACAGUCCAUGAAUCAUGCAUCUGUUACAAGGAAAAAGAAGAGGCGGGAAGGAGCCCAUCAAUAUCUUUGCUCUUAAAUGUCCAGUGACUUGAGAAUAAGAAAGAUUUAUAGUCCAACCUUUGAUGCCAUUUUCUGCAAGUGCCACACUGGACUUAAAUUCAGUUGCUUUCAAAGACAGGGUCUCUCUAAGUUGCUAAGGCUGGCCCUGAACUUGCAAUCCUCCUGCCUCUGUCUUCCGAGUUGCUGGGAUUACAAGUGUGUGUCACUGUACCUUAUUCAGGUUUGUUUUAUGAUUAAGUUAAAUAAGACAUAUGUGCCUGGCUCUCAGUUUUUCCUCAGUCAUUGACUGAUCAACAGAUGAAGUUCUGUCAACAGAUGAAGAUUGCUCCUGGGAUUUAGUGGCAUCUGCUGGUCGAGUGGCAUAGCUCUAAAGGGAGCCAUUGGAACUCAAGAACAAACAGUUCACCUCCUCAUUUCUCUGCAAUUAUUUGCUAUUAUCUCCUUAAGAUGGAAUAAUUUUGAAUGACUUAUAUUUACUUAAUGACUUAUUCCUAAACAACUGCUUUAGAUCUGAUUUGAAGGCAUCUUUACUUUGAGUUAGCUCAAGCCCUCUGAGUACUGCACCCCGUCUGGUAUUUUAGUUUUAGAUAAGUAGUGCUGUUUAAUGCAUGAUGUGAAAUACUCAGGCAUGGCCCAGAGCAGUAGGGUAGUGGUAUAUAUCAGGCAACCUCAAAAUAGGAGUUAAACUCUGUGACUUAAUAAGCAUCAGAGAAUUCUUCUUUGCACUCCUAACCCUUUGCAGUGCUGGGGAUGAGCCCAGGCUCCUAUGUAUGCUAGACAAGCCUUCUACCACUGAGCUACACCCCUAACCCCAUCUUGUUCCCUUUGGUGUGUGAUUGCUGUGUUCAUAGGAAAGGCAGGUCUGGAGAUUAUUGGAUGAGACAUAAACUUUGUAAAAUCAUUGUGAGUUCCCUUUUCUGAUUCAAGCCUGGAUAGGGAUAUCGCCUGACUUUUAUGGUGUUCGCUAUAUGUUGGUAAAAUAGUUGAAUUCUCCUCUGAAACUCAUAUAUACCUGAGCACUGAACAAUUGGGUUCUUAUGAUCAAUAGUUAUUUUCAUCUCCAUAGUCUUUAAUUUUAAGAUAAUAUCAAUGGUAAAACAUCAUUGAAACCUAGUGCAAUAGCAAGUGCAUGUGAUUCUACCUAGUUACUUGGGAGGCGGAGGAAGGAGGACUACUUGAAUUCAGGAGCUGGAGGCCAGCCUGGGCAAUGUUUCAUGACCCGCAUCUCCAAAAUAGGAAAAAAAAAAAAAAAUUAUCAUGGCUUUCCUGGGGGAAAAAAGACACAUAUUCUACUAAUCAUACGUAUUAAUGUUUUAGAUUUUCUGAUUUUAGGAAUAUUGAAAUGCAGGAAAAAGUACAACUUUAGAAUUGAGAAAAUAAAGUCUUGGUUCUAAUCAGAAAUAAUGUUCCUUAAAAUUUGUUAUCUUAGAAAACUAGAAUUAGGGUGUUUGGUGAUUCUGUUCUUACACUCAAUACCAAUUUUAAGGACUUAAUCUCUGAACAUUGAGACACGUACUCAAAACAGCAAUGGAAAAAAAUCUCUGAAAUUUGACAGAUAAAAACUUUGUAAGCUUUUUUAAAGGACAUGUUAAAUAAAUAAAUACAGGUAAAUUUCACUUUACUUUUUAAAUUACAAAAUUUAGUGAAUUACCAUGUCAUCUUUUUUAGGCUCUCAAUGAUGAGAUUUCACAAUUUUUUCUUCAUUAGUCCAAUACUUAGACUAACUUAGUUCUGUGAAAUGCUGCCUUCUUUUCAUCCUGUACCACUCUUCCAGCUUGGAAUGUGGCCAACCGUUGAAAUCUUAUGGAGUCUGCAGGCCCUGACUUCUGGAUCCAUGAAUCUGGAUACUAUCCAGUAUCUUCUUCUCUGAACCCCUAAGUUUUCAGUACUGCCUAUUUUAUUUUCCCCAAAGAUUUAAGCUUUUCAAUGUUAGUAUGUACUUUAUCAAUGCUAAAUAAGUGCCCAGUAGGUGUGCAAUAAAAAUCUGAGGAAAGAAUAGAAUUGUCUUUGAGAUGGUAGGCAUGCCUAAGAUGUGGGAGGACUUGCUCUUGUCUGUUUUUUCUAAAGACUGAAAAGAGGAAAAUCCUAAUCCCUCCUAAAUAAUAUUGGGAGGGAUUAAGAGCUGAUAUGAUAUGUUUUCCUGGUAGUAGGAGGUGUUUAUAAAUACCGAGUGGAAAUGCCCUUUAUAGACUACUUUAUGCCUCAACACCCCAGCUGUGCUACUUAAGAAGCUAGUACACAGUGAGGUUCUAAAUGUGGGCAUGUGCAGGAAGGAAGAUUGGUAGCCUCAUCUGGAAGCCUUUGAACUUAGACAGUAAUUCAGCUUUUGGAGUAACUUGAAGAAAAACCCUAGAGUUGAUGUCUUCAAAGCAAUCUAAAAAAUACUCAGCAUCUGAGAGAGAUUUGGCUAAUCUGAAAUAUAAAACCGUAGUUUAAAGAGGGUCCCACAUGCUGCUGCCUCUUUUCCAAUGUCCUUAUUGGUCUUUCCAGGGGAGCAGUACACCUCUGGCCCAUGAAAUUAAAAUGUAUGUGUUUGUAUGUUUUCAUUUUAUAAUUCUUUUAAGGUAAUUAAGUUCUGCCCUAUAUUAGAAUGACUUUAUGGACUUGUUUACCCUACUCACGUUAGAAGCUUGUUGAUGGCAGGGACCUGCGGGUGUCAUUGGUUUGCUUACUGGGGCUCCUAGAACUCUGCCUUGCACAUGGUGGUAUCAGAGAGUCCCAACUGCACUGCAUGUGACCUCAGUUAAUGGGAAGCAGGCAUCCAGGUUAACGUUUUCCUGGUAGUAGUAGGUGUUCAUAAAUACCUUACCUUGUCUGGGUUAAGGAAAGCUUCUAUAAUAUACAAAGGAAAAAUCUGGUUUUACUUAUUUGAUAUGAUUUUAAUUGGAACAUUAGGAUAUAGGUUUAAUUACUUUGAGGGUCAGCUAAGAAAGUCAUUGCAUAAAGUGAAGAUAAAAUCUCUACUGUUUGAUUUCAGGGGUUGUAUAAAUGUUAACUCAGCAAGAUUGAGGAAAUAGCUCCAAAAGUUAGCAAGAAUGUCUCAGAACUCAGAGAGAUGAGUUUAGCCCAUUAGCCAGAUGGUCCCAAGAGUCUCAAACUGUUGAGUUGCCUGGUAUACUGCAGACGAGCAGAGGUAUAAUAGCAGGUGAUCUCUGAGAAACCAAGCCUGAGUAGACAGGCUGGUUUCUUCAUCUGCAAAUGGAGAUGCCAGGAAUGGGAGAAAAUGAGAGAAAACUCAGCCCAAAUACUUUGCAUGCUUUAAUGAGGAUUCAUUUUUAAUUACUUUUAAUUACUUUUUUUUUUUUUUUUUUUUUUUACUAAUUUUCCAGUUA